AUCAUUUAGAUACCUAAUUUUUGAAUAAUCUUCGUUAUCCUGGAACUUAAGACUGCUGAUCAGAUUCUUCUUGGAAUUGCUCCUUUGCCCUUUCGCUAUAUCACAAGAUCUUUUCACUCAAACACUUAUAGAGUACUAGAAGAAAAAAGAGGUGAAUAAGUCAUUCAUAUGUAAUUUAAUUUUUCCAAGUUUUUAUUAUAAAAAUUUCCAAAUAUACAGAAUAUGUGAAAGAAUAUUACAGUAUCCACUCUAAUUCAACAAUAGUACCCAAUACCCAGACUCAACAAUUCAACAAUUAACAUUUUGCCAUAUAUGCUUUAUCUGUAUAUAAGUGUUUGUAAAACAUUUUUUUUUUUGCAGAAUCAUCCCAAAGUUGCAGACAAGACACACCACCCAAACAUGCUGCAGUAUGCACCUCUAAAGAUAAGAACAUUCUAUUUCAUAGUCAUAAUACUAUUAUCAGGUCUUGAGAAAAUUAACAAUCUUGCUAAUAUCUAUUACCCAUACCAUAUUCAAAUUUGCUCAGCUUUCCUCAAAAAUCAUCUUUUAUAGCAGAUAUGUUCUUUUGAACCAGGAUCCAAUCAUGGCUCACUUAUUGCAUUCGACUGCUUUUUCCCCCAUUUGUCAAACUAGAAUAGUCCCUUCCACGUUUUAGUUUUUCUUAAUAUUGGCUUUCUGAAGAGACAAGGUCAGUUGUCUUGAAAAAUGCACCACAUUCUGGAUUUGUCUGUUUCCUCAUGGUGUUAUUUUGUUCCUCUAGUCCCACAAGGUAUUUCAAAUUUGAAGCAGUUCACAAAUACAUUAGAAUACAGUGAAACAACUCAAAUUUUUACAGAGCAAGGCCAGUGAAAAUAUAGAUGAAAUAGGAAGAUAAGGAGUUCUGAAAGGAGGAAAAGUGUUUUGUGUGGCUGGUAAUCCCAUCAAACUGCAUUUUCUCCUUGGGCAAAAUCAAGAUCAUGGAUUGAUUUAUCAUUUUUUCCCUAAAUUACAAGAUUUUGGAUUAAAUAUACAUUGUUUAAGAGCCUCUCCAAUUAGAUUAAGAGGAAAGUAGGAAACUGAAAGAGAAGAAAGUUUUUACAACGUAGCCUCAGAAGACAAAAAAAUCAACUGAAGCAAGGUUUUUCCAUUUGUGCCAUACAGGAAAGCACAUUAAAAAUGAUGAAUUGGGAGGCUUCCCUGGUGGUGCAGUGUUUGAGAAUCUGCCUGCUAAUGCAGGGGACACGGGUUCGA